rnacentral:rRNA from 1 species
CGGGCGAUGUGUACAUAUUAAUAUAAGUUUUCAAAAAAACAUAAUGAUUAUGUUUUACUAACAAAUUCUAUUUUUAAUAAUUUUUCAAUUAUUAUGUAUAUGAAAUAAUGUAAUUCAUUUCAUCUUAAUUAAAUUGCACCUUGACCUGAUAUUUAAAAAUAAUUUUUGUAAUUUUUUUAAUAAUUACUUACGGUGGUAUACAAAUAUGAAUUAAGUAAGGUUACACGUGUGUUUUCGAUUUAGAAACAAAUUCCUUUGUAAAAGUUAAUACCGUCAAAUUUACUAUAUUGGCUUUUUUUGAAUUAUUAUAUAAUUUAAUAGUAUAACA